AAAUGAAUUGACGGGGGCCCGCACAAGCGGAGGAACAUGUGGUUUAAUUCGAUGAUACGCGAGGAACCUUACCCGGGCUUGAAUUGCAGCGGAAUGUAGUUUAAAGAUUACAGCCUUCGGGCCGCUGUGAAGGUGCUGCAUGGUUGUCGUCAGCUCGUGCCGUGAGGUGUCGGCUUAAGUGCCAUAACGAGCGCAACCCUUAUUUUCAGUUACUAACAGGUCAUGCUGAGGACUCUGAAGAGACUGCCGUCGUAAGAUGUGAGGAAGGUGGGGAUGACGUCAAAUCAGCACGGCCCUUACGUCCGGGGCUACACACGUGUUACAAUGGGGGGUACAGAAGGCCGCUACACAGCAAUGUGAUGCCAAUCCCAAAAACCUCUCUCAGUUCGGAUUGGAGUCUGCAACUCGACUCCAUGAAGCUGGAUUCGCUAGUAAUCGCGCAUCAGCCACGGCGCGGUGAAUACGUUCCCGGGCCUUGUACACACCGCCCGU
rnacentral:rRNA from 1 species